UACGAAGGGGGCUAGCGUUGUUCGGAUUUACUGGGCGUAAAGCGCACGUAGGCGGAUCGAUCAGUCAGGGUGAAAUCCCAGAGCUCAACUCUGGAACUGCCUUUGAUACUGUCGAUCUGGAGUAUGGAAGAGGUGAGUGGAAUUCCGAGUGUAGAGGUGAAAUUCGUAGAUAUUCGGAGGAACACCAGUGGCGAAGGCGGCUCACUGGUCCAUUACUGACGCUGAGGUGCGAAAGCGUGGGAGCAAACAGG
rnacentral:rRNA from 1 species